rnacentral:rRNA from 1 species
UACGUAGGGUGCAAGCGUUAAUCGGAAUUACUGGGCGUAAAGCGUGCGCAGGCGGUUAUGCAAGACAGAUGUGAAAUCCCCGGGCUUAACCUGGGAACCGCAUUUGUGACUGCAUAGCUGGAGUACGGCAGAGGGGGAUGGAAUUCCGCGUGUAGCAGUGAAAUGCGUAGAGAUCCGGAGGAACACCGACGGCGUAGGCAGCGCCCUGGACGACACCUGACGCUGAGGCACGGAAAGC